rnacentral:rRNA from 1 species
GUACCCUACGGGACGCAGCAGUGAGGAAUAUUGGUCAAUGGGCGAGAGCCUGAACCAGCCAAGUCGCGUGAAGGAUGAAGGAUCUAUGGUUUGUAAACUUCUUUUAUAAGGGAAUAAAGUGAGGAACGUGUUCCUUUUUGUAUGUACCAUAUGAAUAAGCAUCGGCUAACUCCGUGCCAGCAGCCGCGGUAAUACGGAGGAUGCGAGCGUUAUCCGGAUUUAUUGGGUUUAAAGGGUGCGUAGGGGGUUAAUUAAGUCAGCGGUGAAAGUUUUUGGCUCACCCAUAAAAUUGCCGUUGAAACUGU